CGUAUCACUCCUACGGGAGGCAUGCAGUGAGGAAUUUUGGACAAUGGGGAAACCCUGAUCCAGCGACGCCGCGUGUGGAAUGAAGGGGUUAUGCCCUGUAAACCACUGUCAGCAGAGAAGAAAAGGCUCUUUUAGAGCCCGGGACUGUAUCUGCAGAGGAAGGACCGGCUAACUACGUGCCAGCAGCCGCGGUAAUACGUAGGGUCCAAGCGUUGUCCGGAAUUACUGGGUAUAAAGGGUGCGUAGGCGGCUUUGUGCGUCGAAGGUUAAAGGCCAUGGCUCAACCAUGGAAAUGCCCUCGAUACGGCAAAGCUUGAGUGUGAGAGAGGAAGAUGGAAUUCCUGGUGUAGCAGUGAAAUGCGUAGAUAUCAGGAGGAACACCGGUGGCGAAGGCGGUCUUCUGGCUCACUACUGACGCUGAGGCACGAAAGUGUGGGGAGCGAACAGGAUUAGAUACCCUGGUAG
rnacentral:rRNA from 1 species